rnacentral:rRNA from 1 species
GAUACCUGCACACUUACUUACGUAUCCGCCCGAGAACUACGAGCACAAACGCUUAAAACUCUAAGGACUUGGCGGUGUCCUAAACCCACCUAGAGGAGCCUGUUCUGUAACCGAUAAUCCACGAUUCACCCAACCACCCCUUGCCAACACAGCCUACAUACCGCCGUCGCCAGCUCACCUCCAAUGAAAGAAUAACAGUGAGCCCAACAGCUCCCCGCUAACAAGACAGGUCAAGGUAUAGCCCAUGGGGUGGAAGAAAUG